UGAGGAAUAUUGGUCAAUGGGCGUAAGCCUGAACCAGCCAAGUAGCGUGCAGGAAGACGGCCCUACGGUUGUAAACUGCUUUUAUGCGGGGAUAAAGUGCAAUACGUGUA
rnacentral:rRNA from 1 species